rnacentral:rRNA from 1 species
GACGAACGCUGGCGGCGUGCUUAACACAUGCAAGUCGAACGGAAAGGCCCUGCUUUUGUGGGGUGCUCGAGUGGCGAACGGGUGAGUAACACGUGAGUAACCUGCCCUUGACUUUGGGAUAACUUCAGGAAACUGGGGCUAAUACCGGAUAGGAGCUCCUGCUGCAUGGUGGGGGUUGGAAAGUUUCGGCGGUUGGGGAUGGACUCGCGGCUUAUCAGCUUGUUGGUGGGGUAGUGGCUUACCAAGGCUUUGACGGGUAGCCGGCCUGAGAGGGUGACCGGCCACAUUGGGACUGAGAUACGGCCCAGACUCCUUCGGGAGGCAGCAGUGGGGAAUAUUGCACAAUGGGCGGAAGCCUGAUGCAGCAACGCCGCGUGCGGGAUGACGGCCUUCGGGUUGUAAACCGCUUUCGCCUGUGGCGAAGCGUGAGUGACGGUAAUGGGUAAAGAAGCACCGGCUAACUACGUG